rnacentral:lncRNA from 1 species
UCUUCCACAGUCUGUUCUCCACAGUCCAGCAGAAGUGAGCCUCCAAAAGGAAACCUGAUUCUAUCAUAUCGUGAAACUCCCACUGUAGAGGAUCCCUGGACAGAGUCUAGAUGCGCCUCCCGCGGCUCUGCUCCUCAGAGCGCCGUCAGCCUCUUCUGUCGGGCCGUUCUCUGCCUCACACGACCCGUGAAUUCGCGCUCAAUCCUCGCCGUCGCUGUGUGUUUGAGUUUCUGCCGGAGGCUGCGCUCCCUCUGACCGCCAGAGCCUUGUAUCCACGGUUGCCUCUCCCUGGAACACUCGUCCCUUCAUCUAACUCUGGUGCACCCUUCAGCUCUUGUGAGAUUUGUGAUUUUUCUUUGGGAGGAGUCUUCCCAGUUCGGAGAGGCGGGCUGCUGAUUAUGGAGAAAGAUCAUGGAACCAUACCGUGGCCUGCUGCAAUCUCUUACAUCCCAGUGAUGGUGGAAGAAUGGCUUAGCUUAGCUGCAACUAAAAAGAACACAGAAACAGAGGUACCAGAGCCCACCAAGGGACCACGUUCCAUCUCCCAGUGGAGAACACAAGGCAGAACCAGAAGAAAAUCUGACAAUAGAAUGGAAGUGGCUCUUUCAGAUUCUCUCUUCGAUCCUUUAGAAUUUGUUAACAGAAUUAAAAUACAACUGUGGUAGACGUUCUCAGAUAUAGGACUCCUUUACACUGCUUUACACUUGUACCAAUUAUUGAACUAUUGUUUUUGUCGAUUAUAUCUACUUGACAUUUCCUGUAUCAAAACUUAUCUCAAAAAUUUUAAAUCCUUGCUCUAAGUUCAUUUAAAAAAUAACAAGGAACCCAACUGCACUUUAACAAAAUAACACAUUCAUGUGAAAAAUAAUAUAUUUCUCAGAGUAAAAAAUAAUGAGAAGAGUGGUGUUUGUUUUUACUUUUUUUUUUUUUUUUUUUUUUUUUUUUGCAAAUCUCUUUAAUGUCGAGCUUAGUAGAAGGCAUAUUCUCAUCUCUUCUCCAUUCCGUCUUCUGUUAAAUACUGUUUG